UACGUAGGGGGCAAGCGUUGUCCGGAUUUAUUGGGCGUAAAGAGCGUGUAGGCGGCCAGGUAGGUGGGUUGUGAAAACUGGAGGCUCAACCUUCAGAGGUCGACCCAAACCCCCUGGCUAGAGUCCGGAAGAGGCGAGUGGAACUCCUGGUGUAGCGGUGGAAUGCGCAGAUAUCAGGAAGAACACCGACGGCGAAGGCAGCUCGCUGGGACGGUACUGACGCUGAGGCGCGAAAGCGUGGGGAGCGAACAGG
rnacentral:rRNA from 1 species